AACGAACGCUGGCGGCAUGCCUAACACAUGCAAGUCGAACGAGACCUUCGGGUCUAGUUGCUCACGGGUGCGUAACGCGUUGGAACCUGCCCUUAGGUUCGGAAUAACUCUCCGAAAGGGGUGCUAAUCCCGGGUAAUGUCUUCGGACCAAAGAUUUAUCGCCCUUGGAUGGGCCCGCGUUGGAUUAGCUAGUUGGGAGGGUAAAAGCCUACCAAGGCGACGAUCCAUAGCUGGUCUGAGAGGAUGAUCAGCCACACUGGGACUGAGACACGGCCCAGACUCCUACGGGAGGCAGCAGUGGGGAAUAUUGGACAAUGGGCGAAAGCCUGAUGCAGCAAUGCCGCGUGAGCGAUGAAGGCCUUAGGGAUGUAAAGCUCUUUUACCCGGGAUGAUAAUGACAGUACCGGGAGAAUAAGCACCGGCUAACUCCGUG
rnacentral:rRNA from 1 species